UACGUAGGGGGCUAGCGUUGUCCGGAUUUAUUGGGCGUAAAGAGCGUGUAGGCGGCCAUGUAGGUCCGUUGUGAAAACUCGAGGCUCAACCUCGAGACGCCGAUGGAAACCAUGUGGCUAGAGUCCGGAAGAGGAGAGUGGAAUUCCUGGUGUAGCGGUGAAAUGCGCAGAUAUCAGGAGGAACACCGGUGGCGAAGGCGGGUCUCUGGGCCGAUACUGACGCUGAGGAGCGAAAGCGUGGGGAGCGAACAGG
rnacentral:rRNA from 1 species